UCGUAGUAACAGAGCCAAAAUGGCGUAGAGCGGAGGGUGUGCGGAGAAGGGGACGAGAGAGAGAAGGGACUACCUUCCUUCUCCUCUCUCCCCGGGGGUGUGAGGAGGGGAGAAAACCGGGCGCGGAGGGUUUUUUUUUUCGGUUUUAAUUCUUCUUGAAAUGUGUCCUCACCCGGCGCGGCCUCUCUACCCGGAAUAAACCCGGGUAAAGACGUCCAGUUUGGGGGACCUGAACGCGUCGCCGCGGAGGGAGAGAAACCCCCCCGGGCUUUUGUUUACCGUUAAGAGCCGCAGCUCCAACCACAGUGGAAAUACCUCCGCAUCGUUUCGGACCAAGGAUUUCCCAGUCAGUGCAGUUGAAGUGAAACCAGCUGAAGCCCAGACCGGAGGGGGAACAUCUCGCUUCAGACCAGCCCCAGCACCACCGACGGAUCACUUCCACGGCCGCCCAGACCUGUGGAGGUAAAGAACGGGUCACGGUGAAGAUGACCUCUGUCGGGCUUUUGGGACACGGGUGUCCUCCCUCCUGCCGUUGCUGGGACACUGGCCCUCUCUCCUCCACAGCAUCCCCCUCCGCCCUGGCCUGUUUCUGCCGCAUGAUCAUCAGUCAGGACAUCUCCCGAGAUUGCGGGCUGGUCUGACUUUCAUCACGCACCCUCUGACUACGUCUACAUGUAGGAACGAUGGCGUUUGCGGUCGCCAAGUUGGCUGACACGCCGGGGAGUUCUCUCGGGCGUAAAUGUCCGUAAAUCUCCCAUCGUUCGGGCUUUUUUACAGCCAGAUCUAUCUUCUUCUCACGCUGCAUGUAAACGUAGUCACUGAUGGUUCCUGAGUAACGACAACAAAAACAUCCCCACACGCUCUUUAAAGUCGAUCAAAGCAGUUUGAUAAUGAACAAACUGCUCGUGUUCCCUGGGAAGAAAGUAAUGACACAAGAUACUGUAGCAAAGAUCAAGGCCUGUGAUUAAAUUAGACUCAUAGGGUGUUUCUUUUCGGGUUUUUGUUGCACUACCUCAUCACCAUAACAAGUCCAACAGUGAGUGAAAGGGAGCGUGAUCAGUGCAGAUAUCUCAAUGGUUGUCAAGCGCCACAGCAGUCUUUAUAUAAUGUUCCUGAAUUAAUUUGGUUUUUGGAUUUUAAGAGGGUUAAUAAGCAAGUUGUUAAGAGUCGAUAGAUGAAGGCCGAGCAUGCACACUGAUAUUUACUUUCAGUUCAGACACUUUUGAGGAAAACGCUGACUCACUCUGACUGUGGUCCCCUAUGCAUCUGUCCUAAAGGAACGUCACAGGAUAGGAUUUUUACUCCAUGCUCUUAGUUUUUGCAUUUUGGGCUUAUUGUGCUCUCCUUUGUCUGCAGGUUUAUUCACAAAACUGCAGGUAGAGACAAAAUUGGCAAUAUUCCCCUAAAAUUUGGCAGCUUACAGUAUUUAAAGUUAGUCUUUUAUUAUUAAAGUCUAGUCCAAUUUUCUUCCAGUAGUAUUCUCUUCAUAUGGUCUUAAGUCUUGUUCGCCCUUAACAUACUUUUAUUUUUGUCUUCCCUCCUGGAUAUGUUCUAAUUUCACCCUCUGAACGCGCUAACGAGCUCUCGUUUUCUUCUUUCCCUCUUUAACACGAGGUCUCAUUUACGCUUUACACGCCGCAGGUAGUCGCAGACGGAUUCCUUUUUGCGCCAUGAACGGUGAGACACAAUAAUCUAAAUCUGACUUGCCCAGCAAAGUUUAUCAACCGUCGCCGAAGGCUUUGUCUCUACUCGCUGUUUUCACGUCUCCAGUAAGCUGAGAGACACCGGUGUUGAAGUAGCAGCUUUAAAUCAAGCUUACACCUGAAGGAAACCCUGGUCUCAUUUCUUUUUUUGUUCCUUUUUGUUCCUUUUUGCCUGAUUUAUAUGAAGAAAAACAAACAUUUACCGGGAUUUGUGCAAUAUUUGAUCUUAACUGUCAUGUUGUUGACCAAACUGUAUAUUGUAUAAACAAGUGACAAGUUGUUUGAAAGCAACAAAAUCACCAAUGUCUUCCAUUAAGAUAUGUAUAGACUCAUGUGCAUUAUAGCUUAUUUAGCAGGACUGUGGUGCCAACAUUAUAGUAGCCAUGCAUGACCAGUAGUGAUGCUUGCUUCAUGAAGAAUAGUGAAAUCGAUUUCUAGACUAAGCUGGAGCUCAAAACUGUGGAAACCUUUUCAAAUUAAACAGCGAUAGACUGACUUACUAGACCUUUUUUUAAAUAUACCACAUUUAGAUACAGCUUUGCCCUAAAAUCUUAGACCAGUGCGAGUUCUCCUUUUUAUUCCACGUCUUGGGUGUAGAGUAAGUUGCAUGAUUUAAAAUACGAUUAAAGUAUGACACAAUCAGGCUAUGCAGUUAAAAAGAAUCGAUCCAAGUCGUUUUCUGUAGGCGUGUGCGCUGAAUAUAAGUGAACGCUUGAACAGAACCGCUCUACGUUCUUAGGAUUAUUAUCUGGGGGGAAGAAAAGCUUAAGAGAUGUCCUAAAAUGUCAUUCGUGCACUCUCGAGCAUCAAAAUAAUUACGUGACGGCCAAAAAAAGCUCUCAGAUGUGACGAUGAUAGAAAACCUUUAGAGAACUGUUACAUGAAGAGUAGUACUUUAAUCUUAGAUUUGGAUAUAAUUGCUAGGGAUCCGACGUGGUGUUUUAGUCCUAGAAUUAAGAUCUCACCAUGACACUGUAUUGUACAUAAUACCUCAUAGUUUUGGGAUUCAGAGCGAUAUAUUUUAAUCCAUAAAAUUGUAUUUGAUUAGAGUUUUAGAAGCAAUAACCUACAAUAAUGCAUGAGUUUAGUGCCAGGGUGUAAGUGUUAAAAAGGAGUCUGUAAUGUCAUGUGGAAAGGAUUUCCCUCCUCUCUUUUAUGCCUAUGGUAGCUAUCUAUUAGUCACUUUUUUGGGUGGGGGGGGGUCGUAUAAUGUUUGGCUUUAGAAUACAGUAUCACAUACAAAGGUUUGGGAUACUUCCUGGAGAACAAGGUAUACGUGAGGACAGCUGUAGCAUCAUGUUAUCACACAGACAAACUAAAUACUUCUAUUUUUCACACACUAGUUUCCCUGCUUUGUAUUCUUUGCACACCAAAACAAUAAUCUAAAACCAAUCUGUACACGAGAGUGGCUUUAAAUUUCAAUUCUUGUAGCAUUUUUACAUCCCCAGAACCCACCUCUCCCUUUUUAGAAAUGUAGACUUUCAGUAACUCUGUGGCUGCAAAGGACUUACUGAACGAACUUGACACUUGUUUGAAAAGCACUUUCUCUCUACGUACUGACUUGCACCGUCAUCAUCACCAUCCUGUCUUGAAUACUGUGUUCUAAAAACCCUGUAAUGCUCUUUGUGGGGAUUUAUAAUCACAAUUUAUAAGAAAGUAGGCGUCUAGCAACACGAAUAUAUGGGUUUAAAAAAUUAUGCAUGACUUUAGCAGAGUAACGAAUGAUUUGUAUUGCAUGCAAUAAUCCAACUUUGUAAUGUGAAUGAGUGUAAUUAGGCUAAUGAAAUGUUCAUAUCAGAUGUUUCUGUGACAAGGUGACAACUUGGGGACGGUUGUUUGACACAACAGCAAGCAUGUUGAAGUAGCUUCGAUCAUCAGCUGUGGUUUUUACAGACUAAACUGCACCAAAAAAAGGAAUAACGGAGAGUAGUGUGAAGUGGUUUCUGCUCUCACUCUAUGGCAGUACAGCCACAGUGCAGCUGAAAAACACCAUUUAACCUUUGUUCCCAUGAAAAAAAAACAACAACAAAAGCUUAGGUAAGAUUACGAUUAAUGACAUUACUUUGUUGAUCAACUUUUCCACUGAGGAGGUGGACUGUGUAGAAACUAUGCACUCCAGAGGGAGGAAAUGGGCAUGCUUAUUACGUGUGAGCCUCUUGUCUGGUUUUGUAUUAACUGAAAAAGAAAAAAAGAUAUCUGUAUCAGAAAUUCAGCAAUAAAAUGCAGCAUGGUGCCAAUUGGA